GACGAACGCUGGCGGCGUGCCUAAUACAUGCAAGUUGAGCGCUGAAGGUUGGUACUUGUACCACCUGGCUGAGCAGCGAACGGGUGAGUAACGCGUGGGGAAUCUGCCUUUGAGCGGGGGACAACAUUUGGAAACGAAUGCUAAUACCGCAUAAAAACUUUAAACACAAGUUUUAAGUUUGAAAGAUGCAAUUGCAUCACUCAAAGGUGAUACCGCGUUGUAUUAGCUAGUUGGUGAGGUAAAGGCUCACCAAGGCGAUGAUACAUAGCCGACCUGAGAGGGGGAUCGGCCAAAUUGGGACUGGGACACGGCCCAAACUCCUACGGGAGGCAGCAGUAGGGAAUCUUCGGCAAUGGACGAAAGUCUGACCGAGCAACGCCGCGUGAGUGAAGAAGGUUUUCGGAUCGUAAAAAUCUGUUGGUAGAGAAGAACGUUGGUGAGAGUGGAAAGCUCAUCAAGUGACGGUAACUACCCAGAAAGCGACGGCUAACUACGUG
rnacentral:rRNA from 1 species